rnacentral:rRNA from 1 species
CCCUUAGAUGUUCUGGGCCGCACGCGCGCUACACUGAUGCAUUCAACGAGUCUAAAACCUGCUCUGAUAGGGGUGGGUAAUCUUUUGAAUGUGCAUCGUGAUUGGGAUAGAUGAUUGCAAUUUUUCAUCUUCAACGAGGAAUGCCUAGUAAACGCAAGUCAUCAGCUUGCAUUGAUUACGUCCCUGCCCUUUGUACGCACCGCCCGUCGCUCCUACCGAUUGAAUGAUCCGAUGAAUAUCAUGGAUUGAGGAUUAUAGCAGGUUCGCCUGUCUUGAUCUUCGAGAAGUGAAGUAAAUCUUAUCAUUUAGAGGAAGGAGAAGUCGUAACA